rnacentral:sRNA from 1 species
UUAUUGCGUUAGGGAUGGGAGCGGCAUCCUUUUUAUUUUUUCUUUAAAAAUAAAAAGAUACAGCGGACAGCCCGCCCGAAG